GACGGAGGGGGCAAGCGUUGUCCGGAAUUACUGGGCGUAAAGCGCGCGUAGGCGGUUCGGUAAGUGGGAUGUGAAAGCCCUGGGCUCAACCUGGGAACUGCAUUCCAAACUGCCGAGCUAGAGUGUGGUAGAGGGAGGUAGAAUUUCCUGUGUAGCGGUGAAAUGCGUAGAUAUAGGAAGGAAUACCAGUGGCGAAGGCGGCCUCCUGGAUCAACACUGACGCUGAGGUGCGAAAGCGUGGGGAGCAAACAGG
rnacentral:rRNA from 1 species